GAAAUGCGAAACGCAAUGCGAAUUGCAGAAAUCCGCGAGACAUUAGAUCUUCGAACGCAAUCUGCGCUGAGGGAGAAAUUCUUUCAGCAUAUUUGUUUCAGUGUAGUUGAUUAUCACCUAUUAUAAUCUUAAUGCGGUUGUUUUUUCUCUGAAGAAACUCCCGUUAAAUCGGAGAACACGCGUUCCCAAAACCAUACGAAGUAGUCACUGACAACAGUGAUCUCGUUUAUGGAUUUCUUUGGUGAGCAGCUGAAAAGUGUUCAGAAUACAAUGACAAAAUCAUUAAUAAUCUAUACCUGAGAUCAAGUAAGGUUACCCGCUGGAGUUAA
rnacentral:misc_RNA from 1 species